rnacentral:rRNA from 1 species
UACGGAGGGGGCUAGCGUUGUUCGGAAUUACUGGGCGUAAAGCGCGCGUAGGCGGACCUGCAAGUCGGGGGUGAAAGCCCGAGGCUCAACCUCGGAACUGCCUUCGAUACUGCGGGUCUCGAGUCCGGGAGAGGUGAGUGGAAUUCCUAGUGUAGAGGUGAAAUUCGUAGAUAUUAGGAAGAACACCAGUGGCGAAGGCGGCUUCCUGGCCCAUUACUGACGUUCAGGUACGAAAGCGUGGGGAGCAAACAGG